AUUGAACGCUGGCGGCAUGCCUUACACAUGCAAGUCGAACGGUAACAGGUCUUCGGAUGCUGACGAGUGGCGAACGGGUGAGUAAUGCAUCGGAACGUGCCCAGUAGUGGGGGAUAGCCCGGCGAAAGCCGGAUUAAUGCCGCAUACGACCUGAGGGUGAAAGGGGGGGAUCGCAAGACCUCUCGCUAUUGGAGCGGCCGAUGUCAGAUUAGCUAGUUGGUGGGGUAAAGGCCUACCAAGGCAACGAUCUGUAGUUGGUCUGAGAGGACGACCAGCCACACUGGGACUGAGACACGGCCCAGACUCCUACGGGAGGCAGCAGUGGGGAAUUUUGGACAAUGGGCGCAAGCCUGAUCCAGCAAUGCCGCGUGCAGGAAGAAGGCCUUCGGGUUGUAAACUGCUUCUGUCAGGGAAGAAAUCUUCUGGGUUAAUACCUCGGGAGGAUGACGGUACCUGAAGAAUAAGCACCGGCUAACUACGUGCCAGCCGCCGCAGUAAUAC
rnacentral:rRNA from 1 species